rnacentral:lncRNA from 1 species
GAAGCAGGAAGCACAUGGGGCUAGCUGCCAUUGGUUGGCAGGCAGGACCUUGGGUCACAGCCCCGUCUUUGCAGGGCUGGAGUUCCAGGCUGGACCCGGUGCUCCUGACCUUAAAUGAAUGGCCACAGAAAGGCAGCCCAGCCCCAGUGGAGGCUGUUUUACACCGGGUCACCAUCCCCAGUCAGUUGCCGAUACAUACCAAGGAUGACCUCCUUCGACCAGGUAUGGUGAUGAAUGGUAACCUGUUGUUGCCUACCCCAGCUUCCCUGAAGGCAGCGGAACAGAAUGGCCACUUAUAUGUGGCCAUGGACCCUCCAAGCCCUCACUGCUGGUGGUUGGCCAUUGUAGCUUCCUGGUGGGAGGGCCUAAAGUAUGACUGGUAUCCACUCCUCGGAUGUGCAAUACAUGGCUCCCGUGGUUGGCCAUUUAUAGGGAAAUGGCCAGGAAAGAAACCCUUCUUUGGGGGACAUAUGUACUGUCUGUGUGGCCUAUUAAGAGUUCCCCUAUGACUUUUUGGGCACAGAUUCAGGACUCAAAGGAACCAUGGGGAGCUGAGAAGUUAUGGUACCAUUGCCCAGGGCAAAAGCCCUUGGUGGCUGCAUUAUUAUUCAGAAAUGAAAGGUUAGCUCGUAUUUUGCCUGAGGGACGUGCUUUACCUCCAUUAGUACCUGUGCCUGCUCUGUCAUUCUGACCGUAGGUUAACAUGCUCCAACUGCAUUGUGAAUGGGGCCCACACCUACGCUGAGGUGACCAGUGUUUCCAACUGUUGGACCUGUACCGCCCUUCCAGCAACAGCUGUGGAUGGCUUGCCUUGGCACAUACAUUCGAUGUCUGCAGAGAACUGCACAUGGCUGGAGACUUAGAGUCCCAUGGCUGAUGCCUGGAACGCAAAGCUACAAGCUUUGAACAAAGGACGCUGAAAGACCAGCAGAGGUGGGCACGCCCACCCUCUGGCUGGCCUGUAGCAAUAUGACGGGUGGGGCUGGCUAGUGGGGGUACAUGUAGUACCCCCAGUCUAAGUGCUGUAGUGCACAGAGCAACACUAGGGUAACACCACUGUGGGGUGGGUACACAUCAUGGCCUGGGUAAACAUAAAACAUGCCACCACACCAAAGGCAUGGUGGAACAAGCAGCCCCACCAACAUCGGGCCCCAAGGGAUUUUGUGCCCCCUGGGAGUUUAUGGGUCCAUAUUGACACAGGGUGGCCUUACCCACCAGUGGACUGGACUGGACAUUGUACCUGGGGGUGGCCUUAUGUGCCUGGCACUGUUCUCCCCAAGUUGCCCAGACUCCCACAUAACUGGGAGACACUAUGCUCUCGGUUUUUGUGAGUGCGAUGAGCCCUCACAAGGGGUGGUUCCACCCCUUGGCAAUGACUAUCCCUGGAGCGGAUGUCAGAACUGUGGAAGCACAAGUUACUGGUCUUGCAGAGAACACUGCCAGGGCACUGAAUUACACCCGAGUGGCCCUCUCCGUUUACAGCUCAGGUUGAUCAGAUGGGAAAGGUUGUAUUGCACCACCAAAUGACCUUAGACAUUAUUAUGUCUGCUGCCCAAGGAGGCACCUGUGCCCUUUUAGGAACACAAUGUUGUACCGUUAUCCCUGACAAUCAGAAGAACAUAACAGCAGCUCUGCAAGGGGUCUCAUGGGAGAUUAAGGUGGUUGAGAGCCUGACAAUCCCCUGCAGAGAUGGCGUGCAUCCCUAGGCUCUGGCCUACACUGGGCCCUAAUGGUCAUAAGUAGCAUAGCUGGGAUCCUAGUAGUGAGCUGUUGCUCUCUGUAUUUUUGUUGUGGGUUAUGAAUUCAGGGCUGUGCUCUAGGGGCACGUGUCCCUGCCCAGGGGAUGCCCUCAGCCUGGGACGUGGAGUAUAGGGAAGAUGACUCCACUUUUGUCAGGAGUAGGCCAAGGUGGCCUUCCAGUGCAGCAUGAUCCAGCAGGUUUGGAGUGCAAGUGCACAACCCCAUACAUCAUAUAACCACACCCCAUGAGGCACAUUAGGGGAUCACUCAUGUGAACUCAUGCUUGGCUCAAAGCCACUAUUGUCUGUAAAAGGUAGAAUUACCCUGCUAACGCUGUAUAUAUGGCUUGCUCAUGCUCAGAGAAAGAGUACAGCCAUGUCGAAACUGCCUACAAUUCCCCAAGUGUUUGCCCAGCUAUCCACCACUCGCCCACUAACUCCCUUCCUCUUGGCACGGACAUUCUAAAGAUAACCUGAAAAACAAACUAGUUUAGCCCAUGAUGUGAAGCGGGGAGCCAGACAUGCCUCAUUAUAUCCUCCUCCCUUUUAGAAUUAUGGAUAGAACGGAUUUACAGUCUUUAAGUCUGAUAAGAAACAUUUACAAUCUAUUCUCUUUGAAACCUAAUACCGAGAGGCUUCAUCUGCAUAAUAAAACCUUGGUCUCUACAACCCCUUAUGAUAAUCCAGACAUUUCUUUCUAUUGAAAAUAAGUCUACCAGUUGCUGAUCAAAAAAUAUUUAAAUCUGCGUAUGAGCUCCCUUCCAGUUGUCCCACCUUUCCAGAACAAACUAAUGUAUACCUUACUGUAUCAAUUGGUCCCUUAUGUCUCUCUAAAAUAUAUAAAACCAUGCUGUAGCCCAACCACCUUGAACAUGUUCUCAGAAUCUGUGGAGGACUGGCCACUAAUCUUUUACUCAGAACAAAUCGCUUCAAACAUUUCACAGAGUUUGCCUCUUUUCACAGACAGAGGGAAGGAUGACAAAGGGACACAAGAGAACUCUGGCUGUCAUGACUGUUUGCCAUGUUGAUUGUGAUUGAGGACUAAAUUCUGACCUUUUUCUUUUCUUUUUUUCUUUUGUUUACCUUUUUGAGACAAGGUCUGUCUGUCACCCCAGCUGGAGUGCAGUGGUGCCAUUUCGGCUCACUGCAGCCUCAGCCUCCCAAGUAGCUGGGACUACAGGCAUGCACCACCACACCCAGAUAAUUUUUGCAUUUUUUUGUAGAGAUGAGGUUUCUCCAUGUUGCCCAGGCUGGUCUCAAACUCCAGAGCUUAAAGCAAGCCACUCGCCUCCGCCUUCUAAAGUGCUAGGAUUACAGACAUGAGCCACUGCGCCCAGCCUUUCUUCCCCCCUUGCCCAAAUUCCUAAGAGGCCUGGGGACUCACCCCGUAAAAUCUCAUGAGAGAGGUUGUAUUUAGUCCUCUCUGACUGACUGACUGACUGACUGACUUUCCAACCUGACCCUGGCAUGACAUCACAUUACAGAUGAAGAAGGAAAUCAAAAUAUUUUACCCCAAAGCAUGUUUAUUUGCCAUACUUUGAAAUAGCCUGCAAAGUUGUUUUCGUGGUGGAAUUGCAUCUGUAAGGAAUCUCUUAACUAGAUCUCUCCCUUUCCAGGCCCUCCCAAUCCUGAAGAGAUUAACUGAGAGUUUAGCACUUGUUAAGGGUUUGAAUAGGAAACAUUUGCCGUCUAUUGCCUCUAAGGGUGGGCACUCAUGAAGCUUCAUCUACGUAACAAGAACUUUGGUUUCCACAGCCCAUUAUCUUGACCUAGACAUGCUAUUCUAUUGAUUCCAGGUCUUUAGAUAACAACUUAACUCUUUUAAUCAAUUGACAAUCAGAAAAUCUUGGAAUCCACAUGUGAGCUGUAACCCUCCCCUUCAAGUUGUCCCAUCUUUCCAGACCAAACCAAUAUACACCUCACGGGUAUUGACUGAUGUCUUCUCUCCCUAACAAGUAUAAAAACCAAACUGUAACCCAACCAUCUUGGGCACAUGUUCUCAGCACCUCUUGGGACUGUGUCCUGGGCCUUGGUCACUCAUAUUUGGUUCAGAAUAAACCUUUUAAAACAUUUCAUAGAGUCUCACUCUUUUUGUCGACAUGGCGAUGGUCCCAUGGGUGUACACAUAUGUCAAAAUUUAUCAAAUUGUACACUUUAAGUAUAUGGAGUUUACUGUAUAUCAAUUGUACCUCAAUAAAACUCUUGGAAAAAAGUCUCAAAGUCCG